rnacentral:rRNA from 1 species
GAUGAACGCUAGCUACAGGCUUAACACAUGCAAGUCGCAGGGUAACAUGAGGAAAGCUUGCUUUCCUUGAUGACGACUGGCGCACGGGUGAGUAACGCGUAUCCAACCUUCCCAUAACUACGGGAUAACCCGUUGAAAGACGGCCUAAUACCGUAUGACAUCGUUUGCUGACAUCAAAUAACGAUUAAAGGUUUAGCGGUUAUGGAUGUGGAUGCGUCUGAUUAGCUUGUUGGCGGGGUAACGGCCCACCAAGGCGACGAUCAGUAGGGGUUCUGAGAGGAAGGUCCCCCACAUUGGAACUGAGACACGGUCCAAACUCCUACGGGAGGCAGCAGUGAGGAAUAUUGGUCAAUGGGCGAGAGCCUGAACCAGCCAAGUAGCGUGCAGGAUGACGGCCCUAUGGGUUGUAAACUGCUUUUAUGUGGGGAUAAAGUGCGUGACGUGUCAUGCAUUGCAGGUACCACAUGAAUAAGGACCGGCUAAUUCCGUG